ensembl:snRNA U6 U6 spliceosomal RNA
GUGCUCACUUCAGCAGCACAUAUACUGAAAUUGGAAUGGUACAAAGAAGAUUAGCUUGACCCCCACACAAGGUUGAUAUGCAAAUUCAUGAAGCGUUAAAAAAAUUA